CUGUACCUACGGGGGGCAGCAGUGGGGAAUAUUGCACAAUGGGGGAAACCCUGAUGCAGCGAUGCCGCGUGGAGGAAGAAGGUUUUCGGAUUGUAAAGUCCUUUUAUCAGGGACGAUAAUGACGGUACCUGAAGAAAAAGCUCCGGCUAACUACGUGCCAGCAGCCGCGGUAAUACAUAGGGAGCAAGCGUUAUCCGGAUUUAUUGGGUGUAAAGGGUGCGUAGACGGGAAAUUAAGUUAGUUGUGAAAUCCCUCGGCUUAACUGAGGAACUGCAACUAAAACUGAUUUUCUUGAGUACUGGAGG
rnacentral:rRNA from 1 species